AGUGAACGCUGGCGGUAGGCCUAACACAUGCAAGUCGAACGGCAGCACAGGAGAGCUUGCUCUCUGGGUGGCGAGUGGCGGACGGGUGAGGAAUACAUCGGAAUCUACUUUUUCGUGGGGGAUAACGUAGGGAAACUUACGCUAAUACCGCAUACGACCUACGGGUGAAAGCAGGGGAUCUUCGUACUUUGCGCGAUUGAAUGAGCCGAUGUCGGAUUAGCUAGUUGGCGGGGUAAAGGCCCACCAAGGCGACGAUCCGUAGCUGGUCUGAGAGGAUGAUCAGCCACACUGGAACUGAGACACGGUCCAGACUCCUACGGGAGGCAGCAGUGGGGAAUAUUGGACAAUGGGCGCAAGCCUGAUCCAGCCAUACCGCGUGGGUGAAGAAGGCCUUCGGGUUGUAAAGCCCUUUUGUUGGGAAAGAAAUCCAGCUGGUUAAUACCCGGUUGGGAUGACGGUACCCAAAGAAUAAGCACCGGCUAACUUCGUGCCAGCCGCCGCAGUAA
rnacentral:rRNA from 1 species